rnacentral:tRNA from 1 species
GGGCAGUUGGCACAGCUGGUUAGCGCACCACGUUGACAUCGUGGAGGUCACAGGUUCGAAUCUUGUACUGCCCA